GCCUGGGUGGCUCAGUCGGUUAAGCGUCUGACUUCGGCUCAGGUCAUGAUCUCGCGGUCCGUGAGUUCAAGCCCCACAUUGGGCU
rnacentral:tRNA from 1 species